UAUCAUUUCAUUUUUAUUCGAAGGUAGUUUUACCAAAAUGUGAAAAAAAUAACAUCUUAAUGACACUUCGCGCAUAAAUAUUUCCACAAGUCCAUAGAAAUUUAUAACCUUGCGCAUCUACCAUGUUUUUUUUUCCAGCAACAUUUUGAGCUAAGAUAAUGGUUUUAUUGUACAACAACUUCAACCUUGAAGAUUUGGUUCAGCCUACAUUAAUACAUUAGCACCAUUAGAAUGAAAUAAAGAGUAAGUUUGAAGGUGGAUAGUUGCUCUACCUGUUCAACCUGGAAACCAAAAAAGGAAAGAUGAGAAUCUGGAUCAAUCUCAAUUUGGAUGACAUCUUGGAAAUAUUUCCAUCUUUAAUUUAGCCUAACACCAUGAAAGCAAUUUAAACAAUUGAAGAAUGUACAUCAGUUGACGGGAUCAACAUACAGUAUGAACACUAAAUUGAAUGCCAACACUUGUUUGGUUCAUAUCAGCAGCCUUAAAGAUGCAGGUAAUGCAAGUAAAGCAUAAUAAAUAAAUGACAACAAAACCAUAACUAAAUGAUGAGGCAGAAUUAAAUCAUUAAGAAUAGCGUCUCUGACCAUUGUGUCGCCCUACAUUCCAGAUAAGUAUAGUACAAAAUAAUUAACCUGAGGAUUAAAUAUGUCAGGUGAAGGAAGAUGCAAUAUGUUGGAAUGUUAAUAAGAUUGGAGUGUUCACCGUGAGGACUUAUGCGAUGACCCGAUAGGUCAUCUUAGGUUUCAGAACCAAAUUCUGUGUUUCGAAGCCUUUAUAACCUCAUUUUAGC
rnacentral:lncRNA from 1 species